rnacentral:rRNA from 1 species
GCAUACCGCGUGAGGGAAGACAGCCUACUGGGUUGUAAACCUCUUUUUUCAGGGAGGAAAAAAAUGACGUGUACCUGAAGAAUAAGCAUCGGCUAACUCCGUGCCAGCAGCCGCGGUAAGACGGAGGAUGCAAGUGUUAUCCGGAAUUACUGGGCGUAAAGCGUCUGUAGGUGGUUUAAUAAGUCAACUGUUAAAUCUUGAGGCUUAACUUCAAAACAGCAGUCGAAACUAUUAGACUAGAGUAUAGUAGGGGUAAAGGGAAUUUCCAGUGGAGCGGUGAAAUGCGUAGAUAUUGGAAAGAACACCGAUGGCGAAAGCACUUUACUGGGCUAUUACUAACACUCAGAGACGAAAGCUAGGGUAGCAAAUGGGAUUAGAUACCCCAGUAGUCCUAGCUGUAAACAAUGGAUACUAGAUGUUGAACAGAUCGACCUGUGCAGUAUUAAAGCUAACGCGUUAAGUAUCCCGCCUGGGAAGUAUGCUCGCAAGAGUGAAACUCAAAGGAAUUGACGG